GUAUAACUCAGCGGUAGAGUGCGUGCUUAGCACGCAUGAGGCCUGGGUUCAAUCCCCGGCAC
rnacentral:tRNA from 1 species